rnacentral:tRNA from 1 species
GGGCGUGUAGCUUUAUGGGACAGCGCUUGUUUAACACACACAAGACCCUGGGUUCAAUCCCCAGCACUGCCA